rnacentral:lncRNA from 1 species
GGCUGGGGAGUUUGUCAGCCAGAAAGAGGAAGAGCAUCCCCAAGAGCGGAACAGUUUUGGGUCCCAGGCGCACGUGCUGUGUUCCAGGGAUCACACGAGUACACAGACAUCAUCAAAGGCUGCACAGAGCCAGGAUUAGAGGACAGUCUUGGUUUGCCUUUCUCAGGUCCAAACAGUACAUCUGGAGUAUUAGCAGCUGUCUUAGGUAUGCCAAUUUACAAGCUCCCCUCCCUCUAACUUGGGGUGGGGCCAGACCCUGAUGGCCAAGGGGUGAGGAGCGGCCCUCUUUGUAGAGAAGGCAGGAGGAAACUGUGCUGUUUGUCCAGAAGGAGAGAGUGGAGCCACUGAGCUCAACCAUGGCAUCAGGGGGAAGAGCAGUGGCCUUGUGCUGGGUGACCCGGAGCCCAGAAACAAGACGUGAGGGUGGAAGCCACAAGGAGGCCUUUAGGCUCAACAGAAGGAAGAGCGUUUUAACUUUGAGAAAUGCCCUGCCUGGAAACGGCACCAGCUUCCUCUUUCAGCACCGAGUUCCCUGGCUGGGAGGUGGCCCAGCUGAGCGGAGGAAUAGGGGAAAACUAGAGACAUUUGAACUGGAAGAUCUCCGCGGGCCCUUUGAAGUCUGAGAUUGCACAUCCGUGCAGCCUUCAGCGCAGCCGUUACUCCAGAAGUGGUCUGUUUAUUUAGGGAGGUGACCGGCUGGAGCUUUCGCAACAGACUGGCUUUCCCCUCGGUGUUUCCUUUGCCUAUCAGCAAGCGGUUUACGUUCCCAGGGCAAACAGGAAGGCGACAGCGCCGAGCAAAGCCAGCAGGAAUUCCUAUGAAACAGCUCCAAGAAAAAACCCACACAUAGGAAGAAAAAAAAAAAAAACUAACAAAGCAACACACACAGACAUGGGGCUGGGGCUUCCCCGCCAUGCGCCCGGGCCUGGCGCGGGGAGGGGUCAGGGCCACAGCCCAGAGGCCCCUCGGGGUCAGACCCCUCUGGAGCUCGGGCUGGAGGCCGAGGGCCGUCGGGGGCCACAGCCCGGCCGCGGGGAGCAGCGGAGGGCGGCGGCCUCUCCUCUGCGGGGCUGGCCCAGCCCGCGGCCGCCUCUCCCGAGCCGGGGAAGCUCGGCCGCCCCCGUCGGCCCGGGGCCCUCCUCCGGCCCCCGGAGCGGCGGGCGGGCCGGCGCGAUCGCGGUCUGGCCUCCGCCGCUGGCCCUGGGCGGCCGCCGCGCCUUCAUUAUCUCGGGGUGACUUGCGGCCGCCGGGGCCCCGCCAAGGCUUGGCUCCCGCUCCAACCCCGGGCGGUCGGGCUGGGCUGGUUCCACACUCCGGGGGCCCGAAGCCUCGUGCCUGCCUAGGCUUCCCGGUUUUCCGGAGAGAGAGGUCAGCGUGUUCCCGUCGCGUCGGCGGCCGGAGAGACGGGGACAGCCUCCCUCCCGCUGGCAGUGGUUGGUGUCGAAGGAGGGUUGGAGGUUGGAUCCUGCAUUUCCACUCAUUGCCCAUAGAACAGCCUGGCUACAAAAGGGGCUGUCGAUGGCUGCCGCCCCCCAGGUCCUUCAUCCAGUCACAGCACACAGCUCCGAAGUUCCAAGUCCCAUGGAAAGUGGCAGUGGCAGUGGCUGGGCUGGACUGUGGCCGGAGAAUCCCUGGGCCUCGGCACUCAAGCACCAUCGGUCCAGCUGCAGCUGGCUCUUCAGCUGGGGGCUGGUUUUGCUCUCCGGCUGCCUCUGCCGGGUCAGAUCUUCUCCGGCAAGGAGGAACUGCUGGCAUCUGGAAGAGGAGGAAAGCAGCCUGGGGGCCCAGGGCUGCAGCCAGAACCAGAGCUGCCUUGAGAGGGGCGAUUGCCACCCGACCCAAGCAGGCAAUGGGAGAGUUCUGUGUGUGCACACCCGGGUGA